ensembl:misc_RNA Metazoa_SRP Metazoan signal recognition particle RNA
GCCUGGUGCAGUGGCUCACGCCUGUAAUCCCAGCUAUUUAGGAGGCAGAGGUGGGAGGAUUGCUUGAGCCCAGGAGUUUGAGGCUGCAGUGAGCUGUGAUCAUGCCACUGCACUCUAGCCUGGGCAUCAGAGUGAGAUCCUAUCUAUU